AUUGAACGCUGGCGGCAUGCCUUACACAUGCAAGUCGAACGGUAACGGGCCUUCGGGUGCCGACGAGUGGCGAACGGGUGAGUAAUACAUCAGAACGUGCCCGAUCGUGGGGGAUAACGAGGCGAAAGCUUUGCUAAUACCGCAUACGAUCUACGGAUGAAAGCAGGGGACCGCAAGGCCUUGCGCGGACGGAGCGGCCGAUGGCAGAUUAGGUAGUUGGUGGGAUAAAAGCUUACCAAGCCGACGAUCUGUAGCUGGUCUGAGAGGAUGAUCAGCCACACUGGGACUGAGACACGGCCCAGACUCCUACGGGAGGCAGCAGUGGGGAAUUUUGGACAAUGGGCGCAAGCCUGAUCCAGCCAUGCCGCGUGCAGGAUGAAGGCCUUCGGGUUGUAAACUGCUUUUGUACGGAACGAAAAGCCUUCUUUUAAUACAGGAGGGUCAUGACGGUACCGUAAGAAUAAGCACCGGCUAACUACGUG
rnacentral:rRNA from 1 species